GAGAGCAGCAGAUCUGAAGGGAAUGUACUAAAGCAGCACAUAAAUACUGGAGGUGAUUGUGGUGUUAUCCAGUAUUGCUGUUCUGCUGUAGUAAGACCUGUCAGCACUUACAGACUCCAA
rnacentral:precursor_RNA from 8 species